GAUCGCGGAUACGAGAGAUCGUAUCCUUCAGUUCGGCUGGAUCGGAGACAGGUGCUGCAUGGCUGUCGUCAGCUCGUGUCGUGAGAUGUUGGGUUAAGUCCCGCAACGAGCGCAACCCUCGCCCUUAGUUGCCAGCAUUCAGUUGGGCACUCUAAGGGGACUGCCGGUGAUAAGCCGAGAGGAAGGUGGGGAUGACGUCAAGUCCUCAUGGCCCUUACGGGCUGGGCUACACACGUGCUACAAUGGUGGUGACAGUGGGCAGCGAGACCGCGAGGUCGAGCUAAUCUCCAAAAGCCAUCUCAGUUCGGAUUGCACUCUGCAACUCGAGUGCAUGAAGUUGGAAUCGCUAGUAAUCGCAGAUCAGCA
rnacentral:rRNA from 1 species